rnacentral:miRNA from 1 species
UUAAGGAUUGGGUCUUGGAAUUC